rnacentral:rRNA from 1 species
UACAGAGGGUGCAAGCGUUAUUCGGAAUUAUUGGGCGUAAAGGGCGCGUAGGCGGCUUUGCAAGUGACGGGUGAAAUCCCUCGGCUUAACCGAGGAACUGCCUGUCAGACUGUAAGGCUUGAGACCGGGAGAGGUGAGUGGAAUUCCCAGUGUAGCGGUGAAAUGCGUAGAUAUUGGGAGGAACACCAGUGGCGAAGGCGGCUCACUGGACCGGUACUGACGCUGAGGCGCGAAAGCGUGAGGAGCAAACAGG